CUGUGAUGACUCUGGAUAACUUUACUGAUCGCAGUCGGCCUUGUGUGUCGGCGACGGAUCUUUCAAAUGUCUGCCCUAUCAAUUUGUUGGUAGGUGAUUUGCCUACCAUGAUGAUAACGGGUAACGGGGAAUCAGGGUUCGAUUCCGGAGAGGGAGCCUGAGAAAUGGCUACCACAUCCAAGGACGGCAGCAGGCGCGAAAAUUACCCACUCCCAGCACGGGGAGGUAGUGACGAAAAAUACGGAUACGGGACUCAAUUGAGGCUCCGUAAUUCGAAUGAGUACAAUUUAAAUCCUUUAACGAGGACCAAUUGGAGGGCAAGUCUGGUGCCAGCAGCCGCGGUAACUCCAGCUCCAAAAGCGUAUAUUAAAGUUGCUGCAGUUAAAAAGCUCGUAGUUGGAUCUGGGUAGUGCGAUCGCAUGCUGUUGCUUGUUCACGGUCUUGGUUACGAUCAGGGCAGUGGUCAGCUCGGCGUAGUGGUUGUGCAACCUUUCAGCCGUGUCUGUGUUUUAUUAAACAGGUGUCGAUGGGUUAAUGAGUAUUGUAUCUUAUUGACCUGUUGGCAUGCUUUCGGAUGCCUUUAAACGGGUGUCGGGGGCGGACGGCAUCUUUACUUUGAACAAAUUUGAGUGCUCAAAGCAGGCCUAUGCGCCUGAAAAUUCUUGCAUGGAAUAAUGAAAUAGGACUUCGGUUCUAUUUUGUUG
rnacentral:rRNA from 1 species